CGGAGAUUGCUUCUUCAGGUCCAUAUCACUGAGGCUGUGAGUCUCAACUAAGGAAACACCCAUUGAUUCAUGGGCAUCUUUUACCCCAGCUCUCUGCCUCUUUCUGGAUAUGACCUCUACCUCCUCAACCCAUUCAUCUAGGCUGCUGUGUCUGUCCUCACUAGCAGAUGGUGUGAUCACAGAGACUAGAUAUGCAAGGUGAGGAGAUACCCGAGGGUUCCCCUCCUGCUCAGAGGAGAAAAGGCUGGGAGAAGGAUUGUGAGAGGGGUGAACUGGAGGGGGCAGUGUGCAGCAUGUAAAGUGAAUAAAUAAACAAAUAACUAUGAAAAUAACUAAGUCUACUUGAAGGUAAGAAGAAGGUGUGUGUGUGUGUGUGUGUAAGUAAGUAAGUAAACUUGAAUGUAAGAGCAGUGUGUGUGUGUGUGUGUGUGUGUGUGAGUGUGAGUGUGUGUGGCUGUGUAUGUAUUUGUGUGUGUAUGAUAUAUAUAUAUACAUAUAUACAAAUACAUAUAUACAUAU
rnacentral:lncRNA from 1 species